rnacentral:rRNA from 1 species
GAUGAACGCUGGCGGCGUGCUUAACACAUGCAAGUCGAACGGAAAGGCCCAAGCUUGCUUGGGUACUCGAGUGGCGAACGGGUGAGUAACACGUGGGUGAUCUGCCCUGCACUUUGGGAUAAGCCUGGGAAACUGGGUCUAAUACUGGAUAGGACCACUUCUUGGAUGUUGUGGUGGAAAGUUUUUUCGGUGUGGGAUGAGCUCGCGGCCUAUCAGCUUGUUGGUGGGGUAAUGGCCUACCAAGGCGUCGACGGGUAGCCGGCCUGGGAGGGUGUACGGCCACAAUGGGACUGGGAUACGGCCCAGACUCCUACGGGGGGCAGCAGUGGGGGAUAUUGCACAAUGGGCGCAAGCCUGAUGCAGCGACGCCGCGUGGGGGGUGACGGCCUUCGGGUUGGAAACUCCUUUCGCUAGGGACGAAGCGGUUUGUGACGGUACCUGGAGAAGAAGCACCGGCUAACUACGUG